rnacentral:rRNA from 1 species
AACGCGGAGAACCUUACCAAGGCUUGACAUAUACGAGAACGGGCCAGAAAUGGUCAACUCUUUGGACACUCGUAAACAGGUGGUGCAUGGUUGUCGUCAGCUCGUGUCGUGAGAUGUUGGGUUAAGUCCCGCAACGAGCGCAACCCUCGUUCUAUGUUGCCAGCACGUAAUGGUGGGAACUCAUGGGAUACUGCCGGGGUCAACUCGGAGGAAGGUGGGGAUGACGUCAAAUCAUCAUGCCCCUUAUGUCUUGGGCUUCACGCAUGCUACAAUGGCCGGUACAAAGGGCUGCAAUACCGCGAGGUGGAGCGAAUCCCAAAAAGCCGGUCCCAGUUCGGAUUGAGGUCUGCAACUCGACCUCAUGAAGUCGGAGU